rnacentral:sRNA from 1 species
AGCAAAAACCUCCUAGCAAAGGAGGAGAGGAGGUUGUGCGGGACAAGCUUCUCCUGACGGAAGGAUGUCGCUGCUGAGCCUGUCCUGGCCGGGCUUCGGGCCGGUGGCAACAUCCCCGUGGCUGCUCCUGCUGCUGGUCGGGGCCUCUUGGCUCUUGGCCCACAUCCUGGCCUGGACCUACGCCUUCUAUGACAACUGCCGCCGCCUCCGGUGUUUCCCGCAGCCCCCGAAACAGAACUGGUUCUUGGGUCACCUGGGCCUGGUCACCCCCACAGAGGAGGGCUUGAGGGCCCUGACCCAGCUGGUGGCCACCUACCCCCAGGGCUUUGUGAGGUGGUUGGGCCCCAUCUUUCCCAUCAUCAAUUUGUGCCACCCCGACAUCGUCCGAUCUGUCAUCGAUACCUCAGAUGCCAUUACAGACAAGGACAUAGUCUUCUACAAGUCCCUGAAGCCCUGGCUGGGUAAGUAACUGUAGGUGGACGGGAUGGGGACCAAAUUUGUGGCCAGGGGAAGGUUCUGCCCUUGCCCACAGCCUUUGGCUGCCCUACUAGGGGAUGGGCUCUUGACAAGUGUUGGUGACAAGUGGAGACACCACCGUCGCAUGCUGACGCCUGCCUUCCAUUUCAACAUCCUGAAGCCCUAUAUAAAGAUUUUCAGCAAGAGUGCGAACAUCAUGCAUGCCAAGUGGCAACGCCUGGCCAUGGAGGGCAGCACCCGUCUGGACAUGUUUGAGCACAUCAACCUUAUGACCCUGGACAGUCUGCAGAAAUGCAUCUUCAGCUUUGACAGCAAUUGUCAGGAGAAGCCCAGUGAAUAUAUUACUGCGAUCAUGGAGCUCAGUGCCCUUGUAGUGAAACGGAAUAACCAGUUCUUCCGGUACAACGACUUCCUGUACUUCCUCACUCCCUGUGGACGGCGCUUCCGCAGGGCCUGCCGACUGGUGCAGGACUUCACAGAUGCCGUCAUCCAGGAGCGGCGCCGCACCCUCACUAGCCAGGGCGUUGAUGACUUCCUCCAAGCCAAAACUAAGUCCAAGACUUUGGACUUCAUUGAUGUGCUCCUGCUGAGCAAGGAUAAAAAUGGGAAAGAGUUGUCAGAUGAGGACAUAAGAGCAGAAGCUGACACUUUCAUGUUUGGAGGCCAUGACACCACGGCCAGUGGCCUCUCCUGGGUCUUGUACAACCUCGCGAGGCACACAGAAUACCAAGAACGCUGCCGGCAGGAGGUGCAAGAGCUUCUGAAGGACCGUGAGCCUAAAGAGAUUGAAUGGGACGACCUGGCCCAGUUGCCCUUCCUGACCAUGUGCUUGAAGGAGAGCCUGCGGUUGCAUCCCCCAGUCCCUAUGUUCACCCGCGGCUGCACCCAGGACGUGGUGCUCCCAGACAGCCGGGUCAUCCCCAAAGGUCUAUGACCCCUUCCGCUUCGACCCAGAAAACGCCCAGAAGAGGUCACCUAUGGCUUUUAUUCCUUUCUCGGCGGGGCCCAGGAACUGCAUCGGGCAGAAGUUCGCGAUGGCAGA